rnacentral:piRNA from 1 species
UAACAUUUCAUGAUAGUCAAUAAAAAAAU